rnacentral:rRNA from 1 species
GACACCUAUCCGGUUCUGGAAGGUUGAAAGGAGAAUUGUGACAAGCUUUGAAUGGAAGCCCCGGUAAAGGGCGGCAGUAACUCUAACUGUCCUAAUGUAGUGAAAUCCUUUGUCACAUAAGUAGUGACAUGCACGAAUGGUG